rnacentral:rRNA from 1 species
UAGGGAAUCUUCCGCAAUGGGCGAAAGCCUGACGGAGCAACGCCGCGUGAGUGAUGAAGGUCUUCGGAUCGUAAAACUCUGUUAUUAGGGAAGAACAUACGUGUAAGUAACUAUGCACGUCUUGACGGUACCUAAUCAGAAAGCCACGGCUAACUACGUGCCAGCAGCCGCGGUAAUACGUAGGUGGCAAGCGUUAUCCGGAAUUAUUGGGUGUAAAGCGCGCGUAGGCGGUUUUUUAAGUCUGAUGUGAAAGCCCACGGCUCAACCGUGGAGGGUCAUUGGAAACUGGAAAACUUGAGUGCAGAAGAGGAAAGUGGAAUUCCAUGUGUAGCGGUGAAAUGCGCAGAGAUAUGGAGGAACACCAGUGGCGAAGGCGACUUUCUGGUCUGUAACUGACGCUGAUGUGCGAAAGCGUGGGGAUCAAACAGGAUUAGAUACCCUGGUAGUCCACGCCGUAAACGAUGAGUGCUAAGUGUUAGGGGGUUUCCGCCCCUUAGUGCUGCAGCUAACGCAUUAAGCACUCCGUCUGGGGAGUACGACCGCAAGGUUG